rnacentral:pre_miRNA from 1 species
CGGUCUAUCCUUGCUUCGGUUGAUAUUUAUUUAAUUAUCACUGGGGAAAGUAGACCUUG